AUUGUCGGGGCAGCCAAAGGAAUAGUAACGCAGUGGAGAGCAGUCCAUGAUUUAAUGCACUGAAACCAACAGCCUCGGCCCCCAACACGCACACGCAGGCUGGGCAGCUCCUUCUCAGGGGCCCGCACUGCCUCCUUCUCCUUGGCAGGUGUCUUCUUGGGGCCACACGGUGGAACAGCCCUGUCUACAGCCUUGCUUGCUGCCCCUGCGGUGUGGAGACAGCAUCACUCUUGCCCAGGAUGCCUGGCUGCCUCUCAGGGGCAAGGGGGUGAGACCUUGAUUUUGUGGGCCUAUAGCAGCCUCUUUCUAGUCAGAUAAAGGCUCAAAACCUCCUUCCUACCUUCCUCCCUUCCUCCUGGCCUGAGGCAGUCACCCUCAUAGCCCUGUAGAGUCUUCAGAGAAGUGGCAAUUCAAAGGCUGAAUGCUCCAUUAUGUGGCUCCGGCAAAUGGCUUGUCUCCCGUGGAGAGAUACAAAGGAGUGGGUCUUUGGCAGGCUAGAGAUGCUCUGAUCCACCCGCGGUGCUGUGGAGCACGCCGGUGCCUUGCGUGUGUUCUGGCCCAGAGCCUACUGGGCCAUGAUUUGUGUAUCUUUUGUAAAGUGCCAUGCGUGAGCCGGAUCGGCCCUGACAUAAUUACUGGAAUAUUUUAAUAUGAGGAAGAGUCUCUGAGUCAUCUGCUCACACACCUCCACCGGGGCCCCAUCUUAGCCAGGACACUGGUCAGAGACAGUUUGUCUUCCUCUGAUUGGGAAGUGACAACUCAGCCUCCCCAGAGGGAGGGCUGAGCACAGAGAGACACCUGCAAGGAGAGAAGCAGCUUCAGGGAACCGCCCAGAAAAUAAAGGGCCCUUGGGAUCCUGCAGCUCCCAUCCUCAGGCCAGAGGGAGCAGUGCAACAAAGGGGGCCGGCCUCUGCUGACAUCAGCGAGACCCCAAAUAACAAGACCCUAGAAAGAAGCUUUGUCAGACCAAAUCUGGGGAGGCGGAGGGGAGGAGGAAGGAAAGCCCUCGGGAAGCCACGCUCUCACUCCUCUCCAUGGGGCUCUGGGGUGGAGACGUGAGAAAAAGGUAACUGAAGCCUGAGUUGACAAAGCCUGAGACAGAGAAAAUGUACGGUUGUAAUGAAAUAAAGCUUACAGUCAACUUCAUCUGACACACAUAGAAUGAUAGGCAGAAUCUUUACUGUGCUGUUGGCUCUCAGUCCUAAAUGACCAUCGGCUCACUCACAUAACCGCGGUUAGUGUGCCUCUCACAGGGGCACACUCUGCACUUCUGGGGUCUGCGGAGGGGAGCCCAGUCCUGCCGCACAGCUGCUGUUCUCCAGAUCCUCGAGGCCGAGACCCUUCCACUCUCUAGGGAGAGGAUGCUCCAGCAUGGAAACGAAAAGUGAUAAUAAAGAAAGAAAAGAAGAAAGGCGUCACAGUGGAAAAGACCAAGCAGAUCAAGAGGAAUAAAAGACAAACCACAGACUGGGAGAAAAUAUUUGCAGAAGAUAUAUACGACAAAGGACUCUUGUCUAAAAUAUACAAAGAACUCUUAAAACUCAACAAAAACAAAAUAGACAAUUUGAUUAAAAACUGAGCCAAGACUUUAACAGACACCUUACCAAAGAAGACAUACAGAUGGCAAAGAAGCGUAAGAAAAGAUGCCCCACGUUUUAAGUCAUCAGGGAAAUGCAAAUUAAAACAACAACUACUACACACCUAGUAGAAUGGCCAAAAUCCAGAAUACUGAUAACACCAAAUGCUGACAAGGGUGUGGAGCAACAGGAAUUCUCGUUCAUUGCUGGUGGGAAUGCAAAAUGGCACAGUCUUGUUGGAAGGCAGUUUGGCAGUUUCUUGCAAAAGCUAAACGUACCCUUAGCAUAUGAUCCAGCAGUUGUGCUCCUUGGGAUCCACAUGCAGACCUGUCCAUGGGUGUUCAUAGCAGCUUUGUGCAUAAUUGCCCAAAUGGGAGCAACCAAGAUGUCCUGCGGUAGGUGAAUGGGUUAAUAAACUGUGGCACAUUCA